GCCCGGCUAGCUCAGUUGGUAGAGAAUGAGACCUAAUUUCAGGGUCGUGAGUUCGUGCCUCACGUUGGGCG
rnacentral:tRNA from 1 species